CCUACGGGAGGCAGCAGUGAGGAAUAUUGGUCAAUGGACGGAAGGCUGAACCAGCCAUGCCGCGUGAAGGCCAGAGGCCUACGGGCGUUAAACUUCUUUUGUGCGGGAGCAAGAAUGGUCAGGUGUGGCCAGACGAGAGUACCGUACGAAUAAGCAGAGGCUAACUCCGUGUCAGCAGCCGCGGUAAAGGGGGGGGUGCAAGGGGUAACCGGAUUUAGUGGGUUUAAAGGGGGCGCAGGCGGGGAGGUUAGUUAGCGGUGGAAAUCCCCCGCUCCACUGGGUGAAGUGCCAUUGAUACUGGCUUGCUGGAGUGCGGAUGAGGUGGGAGGAAUGUGUGGUGUAGCGGUGAAAUGCGUAGAUAUCACGCAGAACACCGAUUGCGAAGGCAUCUCACGAGUCCGCGAUUGACGCUGAUGCACGAAAGCGUGGGUAUCAAACAGGAUUAGAUACCCUGGUAGUC
rnacentral:rRNA from 1 species